rnacentral:rRNA from 1 species
UACGUAGGGGGCAAGCGUUGUCCGGAUUCAUUGGGCGUAAAGAGCGUGUAGGCGGCCAGGUAGGUCGGUUGUGAAAACUGGAGGCUCAACCUUCAGAGGUCGACCGAAACCAUCUGGCUAGAGUCCGGGAGAGGAGAGUGGAAUUCCUGGUGUAGCGGUGAAAUGCGCAGAUAUCGGGAGGAACACCUGUGGCGAAAGCGGCUCUCUGGACCACAACUGACGCUGAGGCGCGAAAGCUAGGGGAGCAAACAGGG